UACAGAGGGUGCGAGCGUUGUCCGGAAUUACUGGGCGUAAAGCGCACGUAGGCGGCUUUGUAAGUUAGAGGUGAAAGCCCGGGGCUCAACUCCGGAAUUGCCUUUAAGACUGCAUCGCUAGAAUUGUGGAGAGGUAAGUGGAAUUCCGAGUGUAGAGGUGAAAUUCGUAGAUAUUCGGAAGAACACCAGUGGCGAAGGCGACUUACUGGACACAUAUUGACGCUGAGGUGCGAAAGCGUGGGGAGCAAACAGG
rnacentral:rRNA from 1 species